GACGAACGCUGGCGGCGUGGAUUAGGCAUGCAAGUCGAACGGUAUCAUCCUUUCGGGGGUGAGAGAGUGGCGAACUGGUGAGUAACACGUAGGUUAUCUACCCUCAAGACGGGGACAACCCAGGGAAACUUGGGCUAAUACCGGAUGUGAGCAACUUUUAGUUGUUUGAAAGGUGGCGUAAGCUGUCGCUUGGGGAUGAGCCUGCGUCCUAUUAGUUAGUUGGUGAGGUAACGGCUCACCUAGGCAAUGAUAGGUAGGCGGCCUUAACGGGUGGUCGCCCACACUGGGAUUGAGAUACGGCCCAGACUCCUACGGGAGGCAGCAGUCGAGAAUAGUCUACAAUGGUCGGAAGACUGAUAGUGCGACGCCGCGUGAACGAUGAAUCCCUUCGGGGUGUAAAGUUCUUUUAUAUGUGAGCAGUGCUUCUUAUAUUAACAGUAUGGGGAGAGAGAUAUUAGCAUAUGAAAUAAGCAACGGCUAACUCCGUGCCCAGCAGCCCGCGGU
rnacentral:rRNA from 1 species